UNCAGUCCAUGUUUCCCAGGUAGGCCUCCU
rnacentral:piRNA from 1 species